GUGACUCAUAAUGUACAGGACACUGGGAGCACAAACAGAGGGACAGCUUUUUAUUCAUUCACAUCUUUAUUGAUCAUCAAGUAUGGGAUAGACAGGCACAGGGUGGUGAGGAAAAGUGACAGUAAAAAUAAAAGAUCAAAGGGUCUUAGAAUCUUUACCAGAUACAAAAAUAAUAACUUCACAAUGGAAAUGUGGACUUAUGAACAUCUAUGAACACAGUGAAAAUGGAUGAAGAUUUAAAUGAAACUUCCUCAGUUAUGUAAUCCAAACUACAAAAAUCGAAGUCAAGGGAGAUGGAUGCCAGGUGUUAGCCUAAGAGCUGGCAUAUAUUUUUUGGAGUGCUGUGAGGUGUAUUGCAAGUCUUGCCAUUAUUUGUUUACAUUUUUCAAAAAGCUAAAAGUCGAAAUAGCCAAAAUAACUCAGACUAUUUCAAAAGCUCAUUAUUUGCAUAGUGUACUCAUUUGAGCAAGAGGAAAGUCUGACUGCUAAGAGCUGCUAGGAAAGGAUAAAAGUGAACUGUAUGUGUAAAGAAGGGAAUGAGAAAGUUGCACACAGGUAAUAGGCUCUUUAUCAGCCAGUGCUGCCAUCCCUAGUUGCUGGGAAUAUAGGCUGAUAUAUAACAAUAUCCCCUUUCCUAGACAAUUUUCUGAUCAACCAGGAGCUGCCUUUCCUCAGGGGCUAUGCAACCACCUCUUGGAGUUCAGAAUUUAGAUGAUGACUAACUGAUAUCAAGGUUUAAAGGCUGCUUGUGUCAAAGUGAGAUUGAUUCAGUGGUGCAAUGUGUACUCUAGAGUUUUCACCAUGAGACCAGACGUAAAGAAGCCUCUGAGACCAGAUUCUUGUGCAUGUUUUUCGUCUUGCCUAUCCUGCAUUCCUCAACUCUCCUGAAGGCUUUCCCUCAUUCUGUCACUUGAACAAGAAUCCCCUCCCAGGCUCUGCUUCCAAGGCUACAAGGAUUCAAUCUGCUUUCCUUUAUUUUGGAAGUUGUUUACACCCACUCUACUUUCUGGGUUUAUUUCCUAGCAAGACUGCCUGCAGAGAAAUUAUUGCAGACCAAUUUAUCCAGGCAACAGUUUGCCCAUCUGCGCAAACAGUUCUCUUAUUGGACAACAUCAUUUUCGCUUGGGCAAACAGCUCAAUUUUCAGGCAACUGUUUUCUCACAAAGAGCCUUAUGUCUGUCUCAAACUAUUGUGUCAUGAAUGUUGCCCAAUCUUGACAACCUUCACACCUUAAAAAACAAACCUCAAACCAUUUAAGUACAGUCCCCUAAACCCUAUUAAUACCCUUCUGUUGUCUCCUCUUGAGACUGAUAAAACCCUGUUAAUGUGGUUUUCUCCCUUAUUGCAGUAUGUUUAAUAAAUUCUGCUUUGCCAAACAACAGGUUUAUCUGGUGGAUGUUAUAAAGGAGUCAACAAUCACCAGGUCCAAACACAAUCUUUGACACCUAACAGAAGCUCAAUUAAAUUUUUUUUCAUUAAGUAACUAGGCAGAAACUCAGGUAGGGUAUUAUAUGAGAUAAAUAUGGGGGAAAGGGAGAACAAGGUAUUAGUCACAAGGAAAAAGAAAACUGGUUAUACAAGAGUCCAGGAAAUCUAUUAAAAGGCUAAGGGAAUAGAACUGACUCUGAAACAUAAGAAUCUUAGAGCUCCAUGAGAUUGUUAAUCUAUGAGGUUGGCCAAUCAAUUGUGCACACAUGUGUUAGCCUCUGUAAGGUGUCACAUAGAAGGGACAUGAAACUAUCUGAUGGAUCUUGCAAUAAACAGUGUCACUUUUUUCAGUAUUUUCUAUUCCUAAAGGAAAGGCUUUUUCUGUAUUUCUGGUCUAGGAUGAAGCUCAAGAUUUUCCUGUAUGGGUUAAUGGGAGAUAAACAUACAUUCAUUUAAACAUUCAGUAUUUAGAAUAUUUAGUAUUUAGUAUUUGCUAUGUCAAAACACCAUUCUAGUUUCUAGCAACAUUGAGAUGAAUAUGGAGGGGGCUGAAAAACUAAGGGUUUAUUUUAUCAAAGAGAAGCAAAUGAAAGGAAAUAACAUGUUAGAGCCAUACAAUUCUAAAAGGGCUCAUUCAUGUUCAUAAAUUUUCAGGUUAUCUUCUGCUGACCCUCAGAAAAACCUAUAGAAGGCAAAAACAUCUUCGAAGGAGGUUCUCUUUACUUCACGUGAACUCAUCAUUAACUUAAGUACUGUAGCCUAGAAAUCAUUGUCAAUUGCAUUUUUUUUGCAGAGCAAAACCACCUUUUUUGUUUGUUUGUUUAAAGGAGUGGAACACUGAGUAACUCUUGAAAUGGAAAAUGACUAUAUAUCACUUAGUAUAAUUAUGGCCUUCACCAAUAACUUUAUCUGUCAAGCCAAAUAAUUAGUAAAGCUCUCCAGUGUGGUAAAUCCAAAAUGCUCUUGGUCAUUUACUCCAGUGUAUAACAGCUUUUAAUAUCAGUAAAUAUUUCUUAGCAACAAAUGUUAAAUCUUCCUUCUCUUGUGAAUACUAGGUCUCAUUUUCUUGUUCUUGAUUCAAUAAAGAUGAAGACAGUCUGGCUGUUCUUCAAGAAAGAAAAAUGUUAGAGGCUUACAUUAAUUAAACUAUUGGUAUAUUUGUUGAAGUUCAUGAGACGCUGAAUUAUACCCUAGGAAGUAAGACAUACAUGCAAAAAACAAAACAAAACAACAACAACAAAAAACAAACAAACAGCAAAGUAACAAUGCCCAAUUAUAUAAAGGCCAAAAAGCUCAGGUGAAAAAGUGCAAACAGAAGUGGAGGCCAAGAAAAGAAUGUGGGAGAGAAUGAAAUAUGUGAGCCUCAAACAGAAUAGAAAAAUGGGCAAAAAGAAAAGGUUGGGGAGGGAAGGAAAGCAGCAUGAAUGAAGGAUGAUAAAGGAUUAGUUUGAAGGUGAAAUUUUACUUUAUUCUUAACACCAGAGAUCUAUAUGCUACUCACGGAUAUUUAUUAAAUAAUUAUGAGUAAUGCAUACUCAUUAAAAUAUAAAUACAUUUAAGAUAGAAAGAACAACAAAAAUUAUCUCUAAUCACACUAUUCCCUCCUCCCUAUUGAUGUUUUAGCCUUGUUUAUUACAGACCUUUUCUGGGCACUUUAAAAGGCGUACUUUCACCCAAAUACAGACUUGAUUGUGAACUUUUAAAUUUAUUAUUGCAUAAGAUUUUUUAUGUUAGUUAUACAUCUCAUUUGAUCAAGUAUAUAUACGCCAAAGUUUUAUUUAAUAAUUCAUACAUAGUUAUAUCUUUGAGUAACCUUAUAAUUAGAAUUUGUAUAAAUCGUUUUGCUACUAAGAUCUUUGUACAAAAUACUAUUUUUCUGUUGUAUAAUCACUGAGAAUGGAGUGAAAUGGAGUGGACAAAACACAGACUUUGGAGUUAAAUAGAACUGGUUUUGAUUUUCAGUUCUGCUCCUUAUAGCUUGUAAUUUUAAGCAAUGUAUCUAACUUCUCUUGGGCCUUGGUUUCCUAAAAUAUAAAAUAAAAAUCACUAUGGUUACUUUGUAGUACUAUUCUGAGAAUAAGAAUUAAUAACUGCAAAGUGUAAUGUGCUUAGA
rnacentral:lncRNA from 1 species